GACGAACGCUGGCGGCGUGCUUAACACAUGCAAGUCGAACGAUGAAACCUAGCUUGCUAGGUCGAUUAGUGGCGAACGGGUGAGUAACACGUGACUAACCUGCCCCUUUCUCUGGGAUAACGCUCCGAAAGGAGCGCUAAUACCGGAUACUCACACCGAGGCACAUGCCUUGGUGUGGAAAGUUUUUCGGAAAGGGAUGGAGUCGCGGCCUAUCAGCUUGUUGGUGAGGUAACGGCUCAACAAGGCGACGACGGGUAGCCGGCCUGAGAGGGGGACCGGCCACACUGGGACUGAGACACGGCCCAGACUCCUACGGGAGGCAGCAGUGGGGAAUAUUGCACAAUGGGCGCAAGCCUGAUGCAGCGACGCCGCGUGAGGGAUGAAGGUCUUCGGAUUGUAAACCUCUUUCAGUAGGGACGAAGCGAAAGUGACGGUACCUAAAGAAGAAGCACCGGCUAACUACGUGCCAGCAGCCGCAGUAA
rnacentral:rRNA from 1 species